rnacentral:rRNA from 1 species
UAAUACGUAGGGUGCGAGCGCUAAUCGGAAUUACUGGGCGUAAAGCGUGCGCAGGCGGUUUUGUAAGCCAGAUGUGAAAGCCCCGGGCUUAACCUGGGAAUGGCAUUUGGGACUGCAAGGCUGGAGUGUGGCAGAGGAGACUGGAAUUCCUGGUGUAGCAGUGAAAUGCGUAGAUAUCAGGAGGAAUACCGAUGGCGAAGGCAGGUCUCUGGGCUGACACUGACGCUCAUGCACGAAAGCGUGGGGAGCAAACAGGAUUAGAUACCCUGGUAGUCCACGCCCUAAACGAUGUCGACUGGUUGUUGGGGGUUUGACACUCUCAGUAACGAAGCUAACGCGUGAAGUCGACCGCCUGGGGAGUACGGCCGCAAGGUU